AUGAGUCCGCCUACAUCGACAUCAUCAAGUCCAAGGAGACCACCUACAAGCGAGGGAGACCCUUCCAUCUUCGGAAGCUCCUCAACGAAGACGACCGAGCAUGGGAAAUUCCCUUUGGUCAUGGAGACGAGCUACGAGGUGCCACAUCAUAUGGGCCUCCUACAACAAGAUGACGACAAGACGAUCGAGCAAGGGUCAUCCCCUUUGACCACGGCGGCGAGUACGAACCUCUUCAACAACAUGAAGACGACACCCCAAUGGGACUCAUACUCCGAGUCAAGCUAUGAGACCGCGUAUGAGACAUUCUCUUUGGUCUUGGAGGAGAGUGAUGGUUUGCCACUUCCUACGGCAUUCAUCUUUGGAGGCGUUAUGGAUGAGGAGGUUGAGCAUGGGACUACCCUUUCAACCAAGGAGGCUAUAGGAGUUUAG
rnacentral:rRNA from 1 species